CCUACGGGGGGCAGCAGUGGGGAAUAUUGCACAAUGGACGAAAGUCUGAUGCAGCCACCCUGCGUGGAGGAUGAAGCAUUACGGUGUGUAAACUCCUUUUCUGGAGGAAGACGACUGACGGUACUCCAGAAUAAAGCGACGGCUAACUACGUGCCAGCAGCCGCGGUAAUACGUAGGUCGCAAGCGUUAUCCGGAUUUACUGGGCGUAAAGCGUCCGCAGCCGGUGCUAUAAGUCUACUUUUAAAAACCAGCGCUCAACGUUGGAGAGGGAGUGGAUACUGUAGUACUCGAGACUAGUAGAGGUGAGUAGAAUUUCCAGUGGAGGGGUGAAAUCCGUUGAUAUUGGAAGGAAUACCAAAAGCGAAGGCAGCUCACUAUACUAAGUCUGACGGUCAGGGACGAAAGCAUGGGUAGCAAACGGGAUUAGAUACCCCGGUAGUCCAUGCCGUAAAUGAUGCUCGCUAGAUGUAUUCUCCCUCGGGAGGGUGUGUUGUAAGCUAACGCGUUAAGCGAGUCGCCUGAGUAGUAUAGUCGCAAGACUGAAACUCAAAGGGAUAGGCGGGGGAACACACAAGCAGAGGAUUGCCUCGAUUAAUUGGAUAAUACGCCAAGAAUCUUACCUGGGUUUGACAUCCCGAGAAUCCUAUCGAAAGACUGGAGUGCCACGCUUGCGUGGAGCUCGGUGACAGAUGCUGCAUGGCCGUCGUCAGCUCGUGCCGCAAGGUGUCCGGUUAAGUCCGGAAACGAGCGCAACCCUCAUCACUAGUUAGAAUGUCUAGUGAGACUGCCUCGGUAACGAGGAGGAAGGAGAGGAUGACGUCAGGUCACUAUGGCUCUUACAUCCAGGGCGUCAGAGACAAUACAAUGGGUAGUACAGCAGGUAGCCAAGCCGUGAGGCGGAGCCAAUCCCUAAAACUACCCUCAGUACGGAUUGUAGUCUGGAACUCGACUACAUGAAGUUGGAUUUGCUAGUAAUGGUGGGUCAGCCAUACCACCGUGAAUAUGUCCCUGUUCCUUGCACACACCGCCCGUC
rnacentral:rRNA from 1 species